AUGUUCUCUACAUCUCUACUGCUCCUCCUGGCAGCUGCAUCCUAUCAUCACAGCCGUGAUAUUAUUCGCGGUAACACACGACCUCGAGUGCUUUUAUACAACAGUCAGUUGAAGCCUCCUGGAGGAUCAGUGAGGUUGUCCUGUGAGGUUUCUGGUUAUCAUCUCACUAACUACAGUACAGGCUGGAUCAGAGAGCCUCCAGGGAAAGCCUUGGAGUGGAUCGGGAUCAUUUGGGGUGGUGGAUCUAUAGACUCUGGAGCUUCCUUUAAGAGUCGCUUCAAAAUUUCCAGAGACACAAGCAGUAACGUGCUGUUCUUAGACAUCAGCAGCCUGGAGACUGGAGACACGGCUGUUUAUUACUGUUCAUAG